rnacentral:lncRNA from 9 species
UGCUCUAAGAAGUGUUCAGGGGAGUUCCUGCUGUGGCGGUUAAGGAUCCAGUGUUGUCUCUAUAGCAGCUCGGGUCGCUGCUGCGGCUCAGAUUCAACCCCUGGCCCAGGAACUUCCACCUGCCACUGGUGCGGUCAAAAAAAGAAAGACAAAGAAAAUAACAGAAGAAAAGAACCGACUCUGCCUCUACAUUUAACACUAAUUUCUUCCUUCAGUAGGUUCUCUGGAGGAGCUGAAUCGAAGCUGGACUUCGAUGGGUGGCUACAUUGUGGGCAGAAACAGCGGAGGAAUGCAGCAGAGCCACGUACAGGCAUUGAUCAGCUCUCUCUCCUGACCUCAUGUGCAGAUCACACCAAAGUAGGUAGUGGUAAUACCUGCCUUAUCCGUCUCACUGAAGCUUCUCAUGUCAACAGAGUUCUCCAUCUUAUCAUCCCUCCCUCUGUACGCUUGGCUGAUGAAAUCUGUCUGAAUAAGGCCUAUGUGCUUUGGGUGGCCCACAACAAACCUCUAAGGGCGGUAAAUUGCAUCUUGGAAAUGCAGGCUCUUUGGAACUGUGUCUGCAUUCAGACUCCCGGGGAUUUCAAUGCAGAGGGACUUGCAAGGUUUGCAUUUUUCAUUCAUUAACGCUGUGUUGCUGCCAAACUUCUCUUCCUGUUAGUCAUCCAGGGAGGAGGGCUCCACACAGCGGGAGGGUCAUAAAUUAUUGUGCGGCUCAAGCCAGCCCGAAUGGAAUACCAAGAGGGCCAUAGAUCUUGGCACAGGUUUUGUGAACGUUUUCUGAGAAAUCCAAAUGUAUUGAAAAAUCACAUGUUUAUAGAGGCAUGAAAAGACUCAGGCUAUCUUUAAAUUCGGCAAGCCAAGAAUUAAGCUUGUCCUCUGUCUAAACCAGUGUGAGAAACCCAGAAUUAGAUGACUCUGGAUAGUCUGUUUUUGCGGCAUUCCAUAGAAAAAUUGCUACAGUUAAAUAAUUCUUGAUUCUUGAUCUGUGGUUCUUAACCUUUUUUUCUUUUUCUUUUUCUUUCGGUGGAUCCCUCUGAGAAUCUGAAGAAAGCUCUGGACCUUCUGACCAGAAAUUGCCCACAAAAUACUCACACAAUUGAUUGUGUAUACAGUUUCAGGAGGUUCAUGGGUCCUCUGAGGCUCAGGCAUAACCCUCACGUGAAGAAUCUCUGCUCUUUACACUAGAAGCUCCUUGAUGGCAAUGAUUAUGUCUAAUUGUUAUGUCUAAUUAUAUCUAAUCUGCAUAACAUCCCUCCUGUUUCUGCCUAACACCCCCUUACAUACUCAGAAAUUCUAUUUAGUGUUUCCUGAUGUGAACUUACAGUAAUAAAGUUCCUUUCUAUUUUUACAGUGUUCUUGUAAAAAGUCCAAGGUGUUUAUUGGAUUAAAAAUGCAAGUCCCCUUUUUAAGCUGGCAAUGUGUCAUUAUAUUCGUUGAUACAGGAAAAAAAAAAUCAUAAAAAUGAACUACUUCCAUUCUAGCUCCAGAAUGGCCUUGAACCAGAUAUAUAUUUAGGCAGAGUUGGAAAUGGAAUCAUUUUUGCUGAGAAUUGCCCAUGAGCUAUCUACCUUCUGCUUGCCGAGGACUUCUAAGG